CUUUCCAUCUUUCUCCCCGUCCAUCUUUCCUUCCUUCUCUCCCUCCUCCGUUCUCUCUCCUCAUGUGCUUUGUCACCCUUUCCAGGAACAGAAUCAACAUAUUCUAAAGUAGUUGCCUCAUCCUCUGAAGUCUUGGCACAUGGCAACAUCCUUUCCCACGGAAUCUCAAGGGAAGGUACUUCCCUCUC